rnacentral:lncRNA from 1 species
UAAGCAUGGUAAUUUCAUACUUGAUUUCAAACAUAAAAGCUUUACUUACAAUUUUUAAUUGAUUGUAAUUAUAUAUAUUGAUCUAUUUUAGUUUGAAAUUCUUAAUUGAUUUCUUAAUUCUUAUAUAAUUACAUGUUAUUAUAUGUUGCAAUGUCAUAUUCUAUAAUUGAAAAAUAGUGUUUUGAGAUUUGAAUUGCCUUUUAUUUUCUACUUUUUUUAUAAUUAUUUUUGUUUAUAAUACAUUUUUAUAGGGAUAAGAUUCUUGGUGUUCCUCUUAUUUAAUGUAUUUCUUUUCAUUUAUAAAUUUUUAUAUAUUCGCUUCAAAAUAUAAAUUUUAAAAUUUAGCCCGGAAUAAUAUUAAAUUUUGGGUCCGCCCCAGUAAGUUUGCAUGAAAAAACUUUUAUCUUCUUUCUUAUUUCCUGGAGCAGCGACAUACUCCCCAAAUAGAAACCCCUAGAUAAGAAAAUGCUUGUUGCCCCGACAAUCAAUCCCGACUGAACCCUACUCUAGCGUAAUUUAAUUUAUCUUCUUUUUUAUUUUCAAUAUUGUCGGGGCAACAAGCAUUUUCUUAUCUUUCAUUAUCGAGCGGGCAUGGUGAUAGAUAUUUUAAAAAAUAAUUACUUGUCAUGAAACACAUGAUAAUUACUUGUCAUGGUGAUAGUUAUUUUCCAUGCUUACACUUAUCUUCAUUCUUCCAGUUGGUACAACCACAACUACCGUGUUUAUUCUUAGCAGCAUUAGGUGUUAAUUAAAUUAUAAAUUAAUAUUAAAAACAAUCAAAAGAGAAAUGAGGUAAAAUAACGGAGGAAGCUUUUGAAAACAAGACCGUUUGUAAAGUGUCUCGCAACUGUAAAAAUAAAGGAGAGUGGGGGAAGGAGGGAGAAAGAAAAAUGGAAAGAAAGGAGUGAAAAUUGAAAAUUGAAAUUAUGUCGUCGAAUAUUUUAGUCGUUAAUUUUAAGUUUUAAUGGGUAUUUUGAUCAUUUAAUCAUAUAAACUAAAGGUAUAAUAGUAUUUUUAUACUGUCCGAGUAGUCGAUGGUUAAAUUUAACGGUCAAACUAACGGCACGAAGAUGGAGUUAUGACUUUUCAUAAUUUUGGGUUGAAGCAAAAUUUAGCUUCUUCUUCAUCUUAUUAUUAUUAUUAUUUGCAUUAUUUGCAUUAUGGAGCAUCUCCACCCUAUCAUUGCAUGCAUGUUCAUUAAUGACACGUACAAAUUAUUGUAUAAAUUAAAUUUGUACAAGAUGUGACAUACUAUAUUUAUUGCCGCAUGCUUAUAAGAA